rnacentral:misc_RNA from 1 species
GUAACAAUUUAAUGAAUAUCGUAUCAGCCUGAUUCCAAAGCAAUUCUUUUCCUCGGAAAACCCAUCGAAACGAAGACAAAGAAGCGCGAUCAAAAGCUCGCCAAUAAACAGCGCACAGUAAUUACAAUUAAUUGCAAUUAGUUUUACAGCUCGGCCAGCCACAGUCACCGGAGGCCACUAAAUCACACGGUAACAACGGCCGAAAUUAAUUAUGUACAAGCAUCGAGUCGUAUCGCGUAAACUCGCGACAAGCAUUCGAUUCCAGGCACUCGAUUAUCCGACACGACAGUGAAACAUUAAACUUUCCUUGGGAAAGUGAGAUAAAAGCUAUCG